UUUUCUGUUGUAUGCAGCUGGACCUAACUCUUAAAUGAUACUCAGUCUGAAGAUAAAAUUAUCACAAGAAUAUAAACCAUCGCAAAGGCCUUGAGCACACCUGGAUCCCUACUAUUGCCCCUUGUCUUCACAUCUGCAUUUCUUUCUCAGAGCAUUGAUGUUGUUCAAAUUUCCUUCUUCAACAUUUCCUUUAAUAUCUCCCUCCUCCUUUCAGUAGAUUCCAGGCCCCACUCACAGGGGUUGGUCUCAUACCAGGAUCCAUCCUCUUUUCCCAAGCCAAGCAUUUUCUCAGGUCUGAAUUAUUCAUUUGAUUUAAAAUAUGGCUCUAGCAAGAAAAUCCACGGUGGGUGUGGGUAGUCCAAGUUCAGUUCCCUUGGAGAUAUUUCCACCUAAUUCCUCCUGGUGCCCAGUAAAUAACUAUUAUGUUAAACACACCCACAUCUCCCAAAGACAGGCAUUAAUUCUGAGAAACGGUAUUACACUGUGAGUACAUGUACGUUUUCCACGCUGAGAAAGAGAAACAUUUGACUCCUAUAAUCAAUGUAACUUUACCCCUGCUCACUAUCAAGAUAGCAUUUUAUUUUGCAGAACAAUGUCAGCUCUUUUUUAUCUUCUAGUUUUCAGAUUGUGCCUAACCAAGCAUUUAAAAAAAAUAAAAAGAUGUUUGAAAUUAGCUUAAAAAUCAGGCCCCCAAAUUGAGCUAUCCAUCUCUCUUUCUUGUUACUGCUUUGCUACACCAAGAUCAAGCUUUGGAAAUACCCCAUGUAUUUAUUCUGUGCCAAAUUAAAUUUUUGUAGGUGUCAUCCUCCUACUACCCUCUACUAAAUUAAAUUCUUGAUUAAGGUCUCAUACUCCCACUGCUCCAGAACAGAGGCAAUAUGAGGACUUAUUAUCCUCUGAUACAAGUAAUCCUCCACCCCCAGGGGGGUGGUAUGGAGAGGAGGUUUGCUUUUCCAGUUACAUAAAUAACAUAUUCUUCACAGAGCAGCUUUCCAGGCUGUAUUUUGUUGUUUUGUUUUGUUUUUCUGCUACUGACUUUUUGCUUGUUUGCCUGUUCAAGGCUGAACAUUUGCCAGUGCCCUGUGGGAUCAUCUGCAGUGAAAUAUUUUUCAGAACCAUAUUGAUACGGGAGAACAACAGCUUCACCCAGUUGUUUGGUAACCCAAGAGCUUUACCACUGACCUUGUGGGCUGUGGUUUGCUUUUUGCACAGGGCUAUUAUUUCCACUAAAGACAAAUCAGGAAACAUAAAACAGAUAUACCCUAACCAAUCUAUCUGGCUCCUUGUUGAACAGAUAUGUCAAAAGAUUUAUUGUUCUGUCACCCAGGCUGGAGUGCAGUGGCAUGAUCUUGGCUCACUAAAACCUCUACCUCCUGGGUUCAAGUGAUUCUCCUGCCUCAGCCUUCCGAUUAGCUGGGAUUACAGGCGCCAGCCACCACGCCUGGCUAAUUUUUUUGUAUUUUUGGCAGAGAUGGGGUUUCACCAUGUUGGCCAGGCUGGUCUCCAACUCCUGACCUCGGGUGAUCAGCCCGCCUCAGCCUCCCAAAGAGCAUCUAUAUUAUAUUUAUUUACUUCAAAUAUCUGUAGACAAAUAGAAUGCCAAGACAGGAAAAGUAAAUCAACUCUAUUAGCACAGAAGGCUAACUUCAGGUCAGGGAGCAAGAGUUAUACAUAACAGGUUAAGUGGAAAAGAGGGGAAAAAAAGGAAAAGAGGCCAGGCGCGGUGGCUCACACCUGUAAUCCCAGCACUUUGGGAGGCCGAGGUGGGUGGAUCACCUGAGGUCACGAGUUUGAGACAAGCCUGGCCAACAUGGUGAAACCCCGCCUCUACAAAAACUACAAAAAAAAGGAAAAGAAAGAGAGUUGUCCCUUUUUCUCUGCUACCUUACUCACAGCUGUCUCUUUCACCUUCACUUCUUUGAAAAGAUUAGGGUAACUCACAAGCUAGUGAACUGGUUUGGACUAGGUAAGUUAGGGGAGAAUCAUGUUACGGGCUGGUGAAAGGAGAGAAUCCAUGGCUAUUUGAGAAGAGUGAAAAUAUUUUAAUGAAAGUCAUCAGCUGGGCGCCGUGGCUCACGCCUGUAGUCCCAGCACUUUGGGAAGCCAAGGUGGGUGGAUCACUCGAGGUCAGGAGUUUGAGACCAGCCUGGCCAACAUGGUGAAACCCUGUCUCCACUAAAAAUACAAAAAUUAACCAGGCGUGGUGGCAGGCAC
rnacentral:lncRNA from 1 species